UACGUAGGGUCGCGAGCGUUGUCCGGAAUUACUGGGCGUAAAGAGCUCGUAGGUGGUUUGUCGCGUUGUUCGUGAAAACUCACAGCUACUAUGGUGGCGCGGGGCGAUACGGGCAGACUUGAGUACUGCAGGGGAGACUGGAAUUCCUGGUGCAGCGGUGGAAUGCGCAGAUAUCAGGAGGAACACCGGUGGCGAAGGCGGGUCUCUGGGCAGUAACUGACGCUGAGGAGCGAAAGCGUGGGGAGCGAACAGG
rnacentral:rRNA from 1 species